UAAUCUGGUUUCUUUUCAGAUCAUAUAAAUCUUUUGUCUUUUACUAAUGAUUUCUGUGGAGAGAGGAACAUUCAAGGGUCUGUAAAUAAUUUAUAGGGAAAAAACAACAUGGGUUC